UCAAGAAACUUCCACAAUGGGCGAAAGCCUGAUGGAGCGACGUCGCGUGAUGGACGAAGUGCUUCGGCACGUAAACAUCUUUUAUGUGGGAUGAAAUUAUUGACAGUACCACAUGAAUAAGGGGCUCCUAACUCUGUGCCAGCAGGAGCGGUAAUACAGAGGCCCCAAGCGUUAUCCGGAAUCACUGGGCGUAAAGGGUGUCGAGGCGGUUGUAUUAGUCGUUCGUAAAAUCUACGAGCUUAACUUGUAGGCGGCGAACGAAACGGUACGACUUGAGGUUUGGAGAGGUGCGUGGAACUCACGGUGUAGGUGUGAAAUCCGUUGAUAUCGUGGGGAACACCAAAGGCGAAGGCAGCACACUGGCCAAAAUCUGACGCUCACACACGAAAGCUAGGGUAGCGAAGAGGAUUAGAUACCCAAGUAGUCCCUGAGCGGGCUGGCAAGGCGCAU
rnacentral:rRNA from 1 species